rnacentral:lncRNA from 1 species
AAAAGAAAACAUAGAUAAAGCAGCAUUGUUCUUCUGUCUGAUGAUGGACCAUGUGGUGAAGGACAAAGCUCCAGUUUCCAUGGCAUCCUAAAAACUUAGCUAUCAUACUUCAGAUAUUGAUGGGCCCUUGUAUGACAGAUGGAUGGUUCAGAACCUUUAUUUAUUGGGAUUUCAAUGACAGCUCAAAAUCUGGAGACUUCUAAACACAGAUGUUUCUCUGGGUGUCUUCGUUGGCUUUAUUUGGAGUUUUUGCACCUGGAGGACUUUUCUAUCUGACCUUGGCUCUGUGUAUAGGGCCUGCAAUGACCUGGACAUCUGGGUGCUGGGACAUCUGCAAUGAGGGGACAUCUGGAGCAGGAAACUCUGUCCUGAAGGCCUUUCCUCAGAACAAUUGCAGUUUUUCUUGGACCAGACCAUCUCUUGGCCUCCUGAUUUCCCCUGGAGACUCAAGUCACCUCCUUUGCCCCCUUGUUUGUGUUGGUCAGGGUGUGGAAGAUACUGAGGAAAGUCAGAAAAUGCAGAGCUGCAUCUGUUCCCAACCCUCUCUAGGAACGAACAUGCAAGCUUAGAGGGUGAGGGCUACUGGGCCACUUUGCUGGUUGACCUCAAUGUGCUGCAGUUCUCCUUGACCACAAGAAUUUAAAUGGGGAGGAGAGAUCCUGCCAGAAUAACCUGGGGCAAAGACAGACACCCAAGAAGGUGCCAAGCCAAGCAGUGUGGGAUAGCAGCAAAGCAUCUGCCAGCAGAGAGAGCACCGGGAGCCCACUCAUCGCAACCCAAUAAGAACGAGCACUCCACAAAGUAAAGUAAUGUGUGAGCCAAGGAGGCUUAACUACAGCUUGUGGAACUGGGUGAGAAGCAGGUUGGAUGUGUAAGGCAAUUUAGCAUAAACUAGCCACGGCUGCUGUUGAUAUUGCUUCCUACGAUCCGUCACGAUGAGGUUGUGGUUGAGUAAUUCAGCAAAAGCUCCAGCUCCUCUCACAAAACAGAAAUCAACCAUCACUGAGUAUUAAUGGAGUGAGAAAAGUAAUUAGGUCUAAUUUCAAAUGUCUCAGCCAAUUAAGUAACAGAUGUGAGAAAAGCGGUGUAAUUUAGCUCUGCUCAUCAAAAAUGAAAUUGUCCACACUAACAAACCUCAUGCUGAGCCCCUGGAAGGCUCAUGCAAGGCUCCUUUGGGGAAAUACACAGGUUGUGCAAAGGUGUCAGGAUCAAGUGCACCUUCUGUUUUUCUUGUUCAUAAAAUUUUGUCUUUCAGGUUUCAGUGUUUUAAAGCUUGGCUCUGCCCUCAGGCAUUCCCAAGAAACCAAGUUAAGCCUGGCCAAACCAAGAGCUGUCACCAGGUCUGAGAAGAAGCCUUCAGUUCAUAAACGGGAAAUACGCUCCUCAAAAGGCAGGGUGUAAGCUCAACCUGCCAGAGCCCACCUCACCACUCACUCCGAGCCAAAAUUUACAACACUGUUUGCAAACACAGGACCAGAUCCGGGCUUUGAAUGUGCAUGAGCUUCAUGUGCAGUUGUCCCACUGAAUUUUGUUAUGUGGGAGUCAGGCCCAUCUAAGUAAGGCUAGCAGCCCUCCCCGAUGUCCAUGCUGGAGUUGGGCCAGCUCUGCUGCAGUCUCAGAUAUCACACUGGCUCAUGUGAUAUCUGAUAUCAUCACUGCUUUCUCCUGCUGUAUCCAGGUGAAAGCACCUUGGACGUCAUGGAAGUCCUAUUGCAAGAGGCAAGGGCCAAGGUGCAAAGCUGCAAUGGAAAGUGUCGAAAGCCUGGGAGCACAGGAGCUGAGUGUGAGGAAGAAAUACGUUCCCUGUAGCCUUCAAAGAGAUCUACGGGCUAUAACCAGCAGUUCAUGGGGUCUGUCACUGAAUGAAUGACAGGCUGGUGGGCUAAUGGAGUAUUUCAAUACAAGCCUGGAUCGGGUCUCACAUCCACACCUCUCAAUCACUUGCAAGACCCUUGCUCAGGGUAGAUCCACCUGGAGCUCACCAUGCCAAUGAAGAUUUCAUACUCAUUUAACAGCAUCUGUGUUUCUUUGGCUGCAGGAAGGGUGUUCAUAUCAUGGAUUUGUAGAUGAUUGAAUGAAAAUUUGUGUAGCAAUAUCAGGCCAGUGUUCACUCUGCUGGUGGGGUCACCCAGAGGCAUUGGGUUUGGGAGACUGCUUGGAAAUGGGUGAAGGCCCCUAAAGAAAUACCACAUUCACCUCUGAGGACUUGUUGGUUAAAAACAGCUAAUAGCUGCUGUUGACCUGUGCUGGGUUUGAAGCAGUGACCCAGAGAUGAAAGCCUUCUGUCCUAGUGCCAAUCCUUUGACUCUCUCUGCUGUAACAAUAAAUAUCCCCCAAAUCUCUUGGAACUCCCA